rnacentral:rRNA from 1 species
AUGUCAAGAGUCCGUUCAGCAAGUGACACAUGCAGCAUCUACUUCACAUACAUAAAGGUGGAUCAUCUCCUUUACACGUGUUCACUUGACCCCUUCGAGAAUGGUAUACUAUUUGACACUCCUCUCAUGUGCAUGCAUAGGUUUUACCUAAGAAUCAUGGAUGACGAGGAGGAGUGCAAGAGCCAAGAAACAACUACACCAUCCACGAAGGAAGCAUGGAAGCGACGAUGGAAGAAGACAGAGUUGCGGAAGUUACAACGACCGGACAUUCGGACCAUGGUCGGACAUACGACGCCCGUGUAG